UUAAGUUAAUAAGGGCGCACGGUGGAUGCCUUGGCACUAGAAGCCGAAGAAGGACGUGACUAACGACGAAAUGCUUUGGGGAGCUGUAAGUAAGCGCUGAUCCAGAGAUGUCCGAAUGGGGGAACCCACUAGUUAAUGACUAGUAUCCAUAUCUGUUAAGGAUAUGAGAAGGAAGACGCAGUGAACUGAAACAUCUAAGUAGCUGCAGGAAGAGAAAGCAAAAGCGAUUGCCUUAGUAGCGGCGAGCGAAACGGCAGGAGGGCAAACCGAAGUGUUUACACUUCGGGGUUGUAGGACUGCGAUAUAGGAUUAAUCAUUAUAGAAGAAUUACCUGGGAAGGUAAGCCAAAGAGAGUAACAGCCUCGUAUUUAAAAUGAUAGAUUAACCUUAGCAGUAUCCUGAGUACGGCGAGACACGCGAAAUCUCGUCGGAAUCUGGGAGGACCAUCUCCCAACCCUAAAUACUCUCUAGUGACCGAUAGUGAACCAGUACCGUGAGGGAAAGGUGAAAAGCACCCCGGGAGGGGAGUGAAAUAGAACCUGAAACCGUGUGCCUACAACAAGUUCGAGCCCGUUAAUGGGUGAGAGCGUGCCUUUUGUAGAAUGAACCGGCGAGUUACGAUAUGAUGCGAGGUUAAGUUGAAGAGACGGAGCCGUAGGGAAACCGAGUCUUAAUAGGGCGUCAUAGUAUCAUGUUGUAGACCCGAAACCAUGUGACCUACCCAUGAGCAGGUUGAAGGUGAGGUAAAACUCACUGGAGGACCGAACCAGGGCACGUUGAAAAGUGCUUGGAUGACUUGUGGGUAGCGGAGAAAUUCCAAACGAACUUGGAGAUAGCUGGUUCUCUCCGAAAUAGCUUUAGGGCUAGCGUCGAUGUUAAGUCUCUUGGAGGUAGAGCACUGUUUGGGUGAGGGGUCCAUCCCGGAUUACCAAUCUCAGAUAAACUCCGAAUGCCAACGAGAUAUAAUCGGCAGUCAGACUGCGAGUGCUAAGAUCCGUAGUCGAAAGGGAAACAGCCCAGACCACCAGCUAAGGUCCCAAAAUAUAUGUUAAGUGGAAAAGGAUGUGGGGUUGCACAGACAACUAGGAUGUUAGCUUAGAAGCAGCUAUUCAUUCAAAGAGUGCGUAAUAGCUCACUAGUCGAGUGACCCUGCGCCGAAAAUGUACCGGGGCUAAAACAUAUUACCGAAGCUGUGGAUGACACAAAAGUGUCAUGGUAGGAGAGCGUUCUAUGUGUGAAGAAGGUGUACCGUGAGGAGCGCUGGAACGCAUAGAAGUGAGAAUGCCGGUAUGAGUAGCGCAAGACAGGUGAGAAUCCUGUCCACCGUAAGACUAAGGUUUCCAGGGGAAGGCUCGUCCGCCCUGGGUUAGUCGGGACCUAAGGAGAGACCGAAAGGUGUAUCCGAUGGACAACAGGUUGAUAUUCCUGUACUAGAGUAUAUAGUGAUGGAGGGACGCAGUAGGCUAACUAAACCAGACGAUUGGAAGUGUCUGGUCAAACAGUGAGGUGUGAUAUGAGUCAAAUGCUUAUAUCUUUAACAUUGAGCUGUGACGAGGAGCGAAGUUUAGUAGCGAAGUUAGUGAUGUCACACUGCCAAGAAAAGCUUCUAGCGAUACAUAUACUCUACCCGUACCGCAAACCGACACAGGUAGUCGAGGCGAGUAGCCUCAGGUGAGCGAGAGAACUCUCGUUAAGGAACUCGGCAAAAUGGCCCCGUAACUUCGGGAGAAGGGGCGCUGAUUUUAGAUCAGCCGCAGUGAAUAGGCCCAAGCAACUGUUUAUCAAAAACACAGCUCUCUGCUAAAUCGUAAGAUGAUGUAUAGGGGGUGACGCCUGCCCGGUGCUGGAAGGUUAAGAGGAGUGCUUAGCGUAAGCGAAGGUAUGAAUUGAAGCCCCAGUAAACGGCGGCCGUAACUAUAACGGUCCUAAGGUAGCGAAAUUCCUUGUCGGGUAAGUUCC
rnacentral:rRNA from 1 species